CCUACGGGAGGCAGCAGUGGGGAAUAUUGGACAAUGGGGGGAACCCUGAUCCAGCGACGCCGCGUGAGUGAAGAAGUAUUUCGGUAUGUAAAGCUCUAUCAGCAGGGAAGAAAGAAAUGACGGUACCUGACUAAGAAGCCCCGGCUAACUACGUGCCAGCAGCCGCGGUAAUACGUAGGGGGCAAGCGUUAUCCGGAUUUACUGGGUGUAAAGGGAGCGUAGACGGCAGUGCAAGUCUGGAGUGAAAGGCGGGGGCGCAACCCCCGGACUGCUCUGGAAACUGUACGGCUGGAGUGCAGGAGAGGUAAGUGGAAUUCGUGGUGUAGCGGUGAAAUGCGUAGAUAUGAGGAGGAACACCAGUGGCGAAGGCGGCUUACUGGACUGUAACUGACGUUGAGGCUCGAAAGCGUGGGGAGCAAACAGGAUUAGAUACCCCUGUAGUC
rnacentral:rRNA from 1 species